CCGCAAAGAAAGCGGUGGCUUCUGCCACCUUGUUUGCUGCAGUGCAAGUUUGCAUCGGACAGGCUUCUAGCAGAGCUGCUGGCUCAGCAGCUGGAUGGUUGCUGAUGGCACUGGCAGACAGAAUCUUUAUCUCAAGCAAGGUGCUGUUACAGGGCCGGGUGUUUGUUUUAUAUCGUACUUUGGAACAAUAGGGUAGGUGUCCUUCCAGCACUGCAUGGGAGGGGUUUGUCUGUCAUGUCUGGGAGGGAGCCGGUUGGGGUGACUAAAUAGAAAACACACAUCAUGUGAAGAUCUCCUGGGCUGAAAAUAGGUGGCUGUUGCCUCUAAACCUCAAAGUGGAGAUGUCAGCCGCUGGUUUGGCUCCCGCUGCACCUUCACUGUGCUGUUAGAUCCCACCAGCAGAGUGUCUCCCAGGCUGAGAAAUAACCUCUGAAGCACAGGAGACCUCCAAAAGCUAAACCGACCCUGUAAGGUGGACCCAUCUCCUCAGGGAGUGUGUUGCAGACAGACGUGAAGAACUCUUGCAACAGGUCAGAGCAGCAGCCUGCCAGGAAAACAGCUAUGCCUUGGGAAUAGAGAAACUAUCUCUGCCUGCAGAUGUUCUCAGAGGAGUACCACCUCCUUCAGUUAUGGCACGACAGUGAAGCUUACCAUGAAAAUAUCACAACAUGACAAAGCUCUCAUGGUUAUGGAAGGCAAGUGUUGCUUAAUGAUGUUUCUUUUGUCCCAAAACAUGGUCUUUUACUCACUUAUUCUGCAUUUGUGUCUCUCUGAAAGCAUUUUCCCCUUUGCUUCAUUGCGUGCAGAGCAACCUUUGCUGAGGAAUGGUGGCGUCCUGAGGGUUACGUGACCUAAUUUAAUCUGUGCUGCUUUCUUCUUUCUAACCUCAGAAGGCAGAGACCCUGAACUGAAAAGUAUAUAAAAAGAAUCUAAUUAGCACAGGACAAAUAAGAAAAUAAGGCUUCGCUUGAAAAGGGGAUUGAUUUUAAUUUUUUUAAAUUAACAGAAGGGUGGAGUUAGACCAAAUGGCAAGUGUGGCACCUCCCUGAAUGCUCCACAGCACCCGUGGGGUUUUUUUUUGGCCUAGUUUUUGGUAGGAAGGCAAGCUCCUGGGUAGAGUUAUAGCUCUCAUCAAAGAGUUGUCUUCUUUGGACACGUUGACAAGUCACUGAUGUCCUUGUCAGCUGUAAAUGUCAGCCUGACUGUCAAGAGGCAGCUCUGUAUGAGAGGUGAAAGUGUCUGGUCUCACCUCCUGCCUCCUCCUGUGGCCCACCUGUGACAGGCAGGAAAAUCUUGCUUUGAUGAGCACUGGGAAGGCCACUGCCUUGUAGCCGAGCAUGACAUGGAGUCUUCUGGGGUGCAAAGAGGUGGUCUCAACCCCUCUCUCAUCACAGGCUCGCUCAGAAGGUCCCACAAGGAGGACCUGCUCUUAACCUGCCUUCAGCUUCCCUUCCAUAGAAGAGAGAUGCCCCUGGAAAGAUGGGUUUUGGGGUGGCCAGCAUUGGAGGGCUCUUGGAAAAAGGCCCUGUGCAUCUGGGAUUAGCCACUAGGACAUCACACCUUGUAGCAGCUUUCACCAAAUACCUGGUGACCUGGUCUUGGCCAGGUUGAGAGGAAGAGUUUUGCUGGACGCUCUGGGAACUCUUUCCUCCCCCUGCAAUUGUUCGGCUGCGCCUUCAUUCAUCUUUAUUGCUGUUUUUCUGGUUCUUCUCUAGGCUCCUAAUGACAGUGAUUAUACCAAAUGCAUACAUCUCAUGUACUGUAGAAAUAAUUUUCAGGCCCAACUGUCUCUUUCAGUGCUUGGAGGAUCAUUAAAAAUACUGCUUUUUAGAAGUAAGGUUUUUCUCUUCUCCCCACUCUACUUCCAGUCCUGUGUUAACCUGCGCAGUAGUAAAAUUGCUGACUUUAGUACGUUGCAUUAAUUAAUUAUCUCUAUAGCAACAUGCACUACCAUAAAUAUGGGAGUUCAGCAGCACAGCUGGAUGGAAGAAGAGCUAAUAGAUAAAUGGGGAGAAAGGCUUUUUUUUCUAAAAUACACAAAUAUCUCCAGUAGUUAAGGAAACAUAAGAUUACUGGUAAAGUUUUUGCAUAGUUUAUCUUUCGCUGCCCCGUUCCCCUGUCAGCUGAACCGUCUCUGUUACAUAGGCCAUGCGUGUUCCUGCUAAAGAGGUUUUCCAAGCUGCUGGUCUGCCUCACCAUCUGCUCAAAGCGCUGGGUUGUCUCCUGCUUGCGUUUAUACCAAUACGUGGAAAUGCAGGCAGCAGGACUCCUUGCGGGAGGAAUCCCUUUGGCUUCAGCAAAGCCACCCUGCUAGGGUUGGUUCUCCGGGGGGAGGGAAGGGUAUGGAUCUUGAGAAGGAAAUACAGUUAAUUUUGGCACUGUGGGAGGGUGACACAGUGUGAGACAGGAGAUGUCAAGAGGCAGAGGAGCUGGAAGAAGUGAAUUUUGCCUCUGAGAAGGCCAGGAUGCUCUGCUCAAUGUCUCUGCCAGUAGUCAUGACUUGUCUGGCUUUUAGGAGUCCUGGGUUAUCUCCGGAGGUCCUGGCUGGGCUGUGCCGCUGCCUCUUCUUGCCUCGGCACAACUGCCCUGGAUGAAAGGCAGCGGAGAUGUCUGUAUGAACAGUGCCUGUGCAUCGUGCUUGCACUGAGCUCCCUGCAACAGGGCUUGGAGUGGGACUCUCUCCCUGUCUCCCAGCAGUUUGUAGCAGAUGUGGUGUCCUAAAAAUGCAGCGGCAGUGGUUUGCGAUGAUACCUGCAAAACCAGGCUGGGGAGAGGGCUGAGUAGUUGUUUCAAGGGAAGAAAUAUGGUAAGAAGAGACCGUAACUGCACUGCAGCUCCUCAGAGGUUGAGAGCUGGUGCUUUUCUAGCUCUUUUUUUUUUUUUGUCAGAUAGUCUAUUCACUGGACAACUUUGUUUUGCUAUUUGUUUGCCGCAUUGGCUGUGAAGCUGAUCAAUUCUUACCAGUCCAGCACAGUGCUACAGGAGUAACGGCACUCUUCAUUGAGUAAUUUAUUCGGUUAAUCUAUUUUGAUUUUUGGCAUUUGACAGGUCCCAGGCAGGGUACAGUGAGUCUGUGCGGAGGAGUCUCGGUACGCAGCGCUGCUAUUUAUACAGCAUCCCAGCGACGGGAAGCGCGGCGCGGAUGUGCUUGGUGGGGUGAAGAGCUUGUGAUCUCGGAGUGUUUCAGGAUGUCAGACACCCUUGUGUUCUGCUCCAUACAGGAGGAAAAAGGCUUCGGGAUGUUUGCUUAGUUUUGUGCUGAGGUGGAGCAGAGAGAAGCCACGGUGCAGAUGUGACGGACCCUGAUAGGCGAGCUGUUGGGCCCUCCCUUGGGGUGAAGAUGUUAAGUGUUAACACCCUUCUUUGGGCCAGCCCGGAUCAUUUGCUGUGCAGCGUCUGCUGGGGCAAGAAGGCCCAAAAUAUUGCUGGUCUGCUCUGCAUUUAGUCAGCUGCCGUACCCAAACCAGGGAAGGUUUAACUCGGAGCGCAGGACGCUGCACAAACCUCACUUCAAAAAGCAGUGCUCUCUGCCUGGGGUACGCGCAAAAAGGGUUAAGCUGUAAAACAACUGCCCUUUUCUAUAUAAAUUAAAAAACCUGUUAACAUAGUAAUAUUUUUAUUUCCGUAGAAAAGUGUUUAUUUUGGUGGUGUGUACAAAGUUUCAGCUAUUCUAAAACACAGAGAUUUCACAGCCAAGCUUUCAUGUUCCCAGCAGAGAAGGAGGUGAGAUACUCAAAGAAUCUCUGUUCUUAUUUCAGCACUGCACUCGCCAGCCAAAUUUUCAAAAGAGCCCAGUUUGCUGACAUAAAUGGGGUUGCUGAUGUGCCGAAAGAGAAGGAAGUGCCGGAGAACAUGUUCCUCGCUGGGUCCAAGGCGAAGAAUUGGCACGGCCGCUUUAUAGAUGGGAAGAGAAUUCUGCUCCAAAGAUAUUAAUGAUCUGGAUCAUUAAUUAGAUGCAUGAAGAAUACAGAAAAUUGGAAGGAAGUUGGAGCAAAUAAAGAAGCUGAUGCAACUGGAAAUUUUGGGGAAAGAAAGGGCUUGUGAAGUCCCAUCUCCCCUGAGCUGGAAGAGCCUCGCAGCCGCCUUCUGUCACUGCUUCCCAUGCAGGGAAUGGGGAAGGAGCGAGCGGCGAUGCUUUGGGGAGCCCUCCGCCCCCUCUUCUGCGCCUAAAUCCAACCUGCAACUCAACGUGCUGUUUCUUACCUUGCAGCGUGGGGCAGAGGUGAGUCGGGCCAUCUCUCCCCCUGGACUGGGAAUGCCCAAAGGCUCCCUCAUGGAAGCCACUUAAACCUGGAGUACCCGCAGACCUGUGGGUGAGGUCCUGCUGGGGAAGUCCUCCCAUCUCAGGUGUCCAUCCCCGCUGGCUCUCGGGUGCCUGCACAGAUGCUCCGUGCCACGACCACCGCGCUGGGCUGUGGGAUGCGUCUGUGAAGUGACUUGAGUUUUCACUGCUCUGAAAAGGUCUCCCUUUUCCCACGAGGCACAGGAAAGACGGAGACAUCUGAUGAGUGCCCGGGCUGUCCUAGUGCUGGGGAGUUGCUCUGGCUGUGUGUGCCAAAGGGAAGAGCAGCACCUUAAAAGAACUCCUGCCAGUGCGGCAGAGGAAUUUUGGGUCCUUUCUGGUGUGGCAAGGGACACCAAAAAGCGGAUGCCCCGGAGGCUGCUGGAGGAAGAGCAUCUGGCGGGGAGGUGACGUGUGGCCUCAGCUGCAGGAUGGGUACCAGAGACUUGGGCUUUGCUGCAGGAAGGCUUUGCAGCCUCCUCCCUGCUUGCUGCACAGGUGUAGCUCCCAUAAGUGUGUCCCAGGAGCAGCGGAACGGCUUGUGCUUGCGUGGAAAUUGCUGGUUUGAAGAAUUAAGUGAAAGACCACUGCGUUUUCCCUUGCUUUCCCGACCAGGAGAUUCAUGAGGUGGCUGGGACAGUUUUACAAUGUCAAGAAGAACAGAAAAGCUGCAAGGCAUGCGUGCUCAAGAUGUGCUCCUGGAAAUCUUUGGAUGGGCUCCAGGCGAUGUUUGGUGGCAAAGACAGACAAAGGUCUUGGAAAGACAAAAAGAAAAAAACAAAUCAGCCAAGCCCUCCUCCCACAAUCUUCCUGUUCCUGUGAGCUGGGAAUGUCAUCGGAGCACAGGAAGGAUGGAAAACAUGCGUUCCUGCAACAUCACAUGUCUGAGGGUAGUUACAAGGACAACGCCCCAGUUUUACACUACCGCUGCUCUCCUGAUCAGCCCAGCGUGAGGCGCCCACCCGGCUCCCACAGGUGUCUCCUGAUCAGAGCAUGUCUUGGAUGGAGAUAUUAUUCACCCUGCUUCACACUUCUUGUCUCCUGAAGGCCACGUUGUCCACCUCCCCCCUUUCUGGAGAGGAUGCUAGGCAGAAGGAUGUUUUGGCUCUACUCCUUAGCGAUUUGUUCUCCUUUUGACCCCAGAUGGGAUCUUGUCUAAUCCAGACCUGUGGUACAAAGUUCUGCUGUGACUUGCUCCUCGACUGGCUUUUCCCUAGCGGUGGAUAUGGCACCUACGUUUGACGAUGUGCUUCAGGCUGUGCCCCCUUCUCUCCAAGGCGUACCUUAAAGUUGGCAUCUCUGAUCACACCACGCUGAGCUGAAAGUCAUGGCCUUGUUCUUGGGACAGGUAGCACAGCGUAUUUGCCUGUUGCUCCAGUGUCUUCCAGCUGCCCAUGGGACUCCUUAGAAGGAAAGACCAUGCUUCCCACACCUUAUGGUGUAGGCCUGUGAAUACCCGUGUACCUUGGUGCAAGAGCAAGUGCCCGCAGCUUCUCCCUCUUGUAUGGCAGAGCCGUAUUCUGCGUGGCAGGAGCAUCGUGGGCCAGGCGUCUGGGUUGCCUGGUCCCUUGCCAGGUAAUUAAUUCUGCAGAAGGAAAACCCGAAAUAUCGGAUUGAGUCGCAUUACCCUGGAAGUGGCAGGAGGUGGGAGCUGCUCGGGCUGCACGCUUGGCAAGCUUACCUCUAUCUCCCAAUGGGUCCUGCCCGGGGAACAGAGUGGUUUGACCCAGAGGAGGUGACAACACUCAACUGGAGACCCUGAGCAAGGCUGUGGAGAUGCACGGUGGGACCGAGGGAAGACCUGCUGAGCUCCUGUCAGAGGCUUCCGAGCAGACCGGCGUGCUCCCAAACACCUCUCUCUGACAUGGCUUCAGUUGGCCAAGCACGGAAUUCACUGAAGUUAUUAUUUUUACGAGGCUGCGAUUAAUCCAUCCCCAUAAUGCAGAGCAAAGCCAGUGCCUGCUUGCUCAACUCCGCUCCUGCUCGCGACGCCUCCGAAUGGCAUCACGUCCAAUUAGCAGAGCUUAAUGAAAAAGAAGCGAGCCCGGCGAAUGCAUGCCUGUGCUUACGUGGCUGCCUGGGUGUCGAGGAAGCAAAGCUGCGUUUGAAAGAUGUCCUUGAGUCAGGAGGAUGACCAGGAGGAAAAUCCCUUCUCCCCAGGCUGGUGGAAAGGGAGGGGUCUGCAGCGGCUGUUCCCUACCAAGGGGCUCUGUUCUGGUCCAGAGCAGCUAUUUCCCACUGCGAGGAGAGGCUGACGGCGUGGUUCGUGCCAGGGUCUGCUGGAAAUACGCUGCACACUCAGCACACCCCACUUGGCUUCUUCCCCCCAGGACAGUUUUCCAGCAGUGGGAGCGCACAGUGUGCCUUCUUGGUGUCAGGCUGACACGGAUUGCAAGUAAAAGCCACCAACUAGCAAGAACUGUCUCCAAGGGCCCCCGGGCCAUAACGUGAGGCUCAGGGGAGCCCAGCCAAACGUGGCCAAGUCCUCUUUAGGGAGCAGCAGGGCUGACGAUAGCGGAUGCCAGCCAGUCUGCGCCCCAGAGGGCUGGGCUCCCUCCAGUCCACAAAGACAGAAUUGCCGCAACUCCCUCAGCACCCACCCUGUGCUGGGGUCUCAUCCUUCCUCUCCCCGUGCUGAGGAUAUCUAGCCCUCCACAGCACAGAGCCACGGCAUGGUGGGCUACACCCCGUGCACAGGGCAAGGGCAAAGCCAGGAGGAGAUGGGAUGCACCACGCUGGGCCAGGGGGUUUGCCACCUCUGAGCGGGAUGAACAAGCAUCCUGGGAAGAAAUACCCUUAGCAGCCCUGGCCACAGAAGGAAAAGGUGGUGUUUGAUAGUGGAAGGAAAGCUGAUGGUGGGAAAGCAAUGGAUUUUUAAAGCCCAGCCAGUGAAUCAGUCUCAUUGCCGUGGUCACUUAAAAACAGAUCAGCAGAAAUAAAGUAGGUUUAAAUCUAUAGUGGCUUGGAGAAGCCUGACCAGUAAAAUGAAGCUGGCAGCGCAGUGACUUGCUGGGAAACACGGCAGAGACUUGCUCCGUGGGAUGUCCAGCUUGCAGCAGGGCCGCACUAUGCACCGUGCAGCGAUGCCCAGCACAGCCUGGACCGUAACAUCUCAGUUCCCCGCAUCUCCCUGCUUGUCUUGGAGACUGUAACAGCUGUAGGUGGCACAAGAAGAGGGACGGGAACACGCAGCAGGGAGUAAUGGGGAAGAAGGAGACAUCAGAUGGCAACAAUCAACAGAGAAGAUUGACUUAAUGGGAUCAGCCUUCAUUUUGUUCUUAUUAUCAGCACCUUGGGAGUGCGGCUUCUUUAAUUAAUUCCUUUGGUCUCUAAAGCACGGAGCUGAGGCCUGUGUUCUAUCAGCAGCUGCUUGCACUGGUGCUCGUGGGUUGGGGCAGGUAGAGAAGCGCGGAGGUCCCUACGCAGUCACUCAGCACUAGGUAUGUCUCUACAAACCUCUUCUCCAAGCGGUUUAGCCCUCCUUUGGAGGAGAGAAAGGGCUUAGUGGGUUUUAGUAACUCAGGAGUGAGGGCUUUUCUUCCUGAUGUUGUCAUGGUGGGAUUUUUUCUUUAUUUUGUAAUGCAUUUACAAUAUUAUUCUGUUCCAGUUAUGAGGAAGGUGGGAAUGGCUAUUUCUUCAUCUUGCUUGGGAAAGAGUGACCCCUUCCACAAGGCACUGACACCUUCCAAAACUGCCAUGUAUUUUGAAUAUGUUCAGCUGUAACGUGGAAUUUCCUUGCUGGCUGCGUAAGCGCCCGGUUUCAGCCUGCGUUUCCCUGCUAUUGUGUGGCCACCAAUUCACUGGCUUGUGGGGGAAAGUGUUUGCCUUGGCCUCCAUCAAUGGUUCACUGGGUUUUUAACGUGAAGUGGGAGGAAAGGAAGAGGUCAAUUUAUGUUCUUGGUAUCACUCAGCAUUUUAUAUGCCUUUGGUAAAGUUGUGACUGUUAUCAAGGCUAUCGAAAUCUCCAGAGUCUGAAAAUCAAGGUGAAAGCUUGCUUUCAUGGAUUAUUUCCAGUCACUUUUCUUCUGGCUCUGCUAAAAAUAACGCAAGAAUAGCUUUCUUCAAACUUUCCUAUUCCCUCCUGGCUGGAGCGGAGAAGGUCAGGAGGAUGAAAGUGAAAGAAGAGUGGGGGGAUGGAGCCACGGCAAACUCUUCACAGGUACCGGUUUGGAGGAGAUUGCUGACAGUUUGUUGGGUUUUUUUUUCUUUGAUCUAAACCUGAUUAAUUUUCUUUCUGUGUUUCUUUCCUUUAGCUGAUGCAAUGGCAAAGGCUGAGUCUUCCAGUCCUUCUAGAGCAGAAAACUUGCCGUUUUAACCAUUUUCUUUUGAAAGUUAAUUAGAAACAUCCCCAAAGCUAUAGGUUGGUCUGACAAUAUUGCCCCCUGUGUUGUAGGACCUUUAUCCAAGGCCUUGGGACGAUGCUGUGUUGCAUACCUUGUGUUAGGCUAGCUGCCUGCUUUCCUUUGCAAUGGCUAUGGGUUUUGUUGAUUGCUGGACUGGUGCCUAAAUUUGCCGCAUCUUUUUAGUCUGAGGUGUUUCCGUGCGAUCUAGCAGGAGAUAACGGUACCACAGGAGAGAGCCAAGGUAUGAUCUCAAGGUGCGCGUCCAGGAGAGAACUCCUUUAGGCCGCUCAGAAAUGGCAGAAUAAUAGUUCCUCCCUAGAAAAAGGGAAAAAUGGGAAGACGGGUGCUAACCACAAGUGGGGAGGCAUUGCAGCUAAAGAAUCCUCACAUGGCAGAGAUUUCAGCUCAUUACAGAACUACUUCAGUCAGCUGCAAGUUUCUGAAUUGUGAUGAUUUUUUCCUAGCAAGGGGAUGACGUGGCGUUGCUUCCUUCAGCUGUUCAUUAGCGGUGUGCAUAACAGUGGAUCAUCAGGUAUCCUUCCCCAUCCACAAGUUCAUACUGCUUUUAACGUUCUUUAUUAACAAAGGGCAGUCCAGUGUCACUCAGGAGAGAAGGCACCUUUGCAAGAAAGAGGUUCAUUCUUGGCCCCAGCCAUCGUAAAAGCUCCACUCAGAGUCUCUUUAUUCCUCCCUGCCCGCUUCCCUUCAGGGACAGGUCACCCCUCCGCAAGGAGAUCAGGUGAAGGGUCCGUCCCAGCUGCCACCUCCUGGGAGGGGACUUUGCUCACUGCCCCGCAUCAGCCUCUGAUGGAUGCCCUCCUGCCCAUGGGAGCAAAGGGAGAGGGUGUUUCCUCAGCUGUGGCUUUUCCAAUCAUUCCCUUUCCACCUUUUCCUGGCUCAUGGUGCUCUCUUCCCCUUAUAAACUGAUAUUUUAAUCCAAGCCUAAAAAGCUGCCUUUCCCACCCAGCCCUGCUGCCCUCCGCGCUGGGCGCCAGCUGCAGUAGCAGAUCACACUGCAGCACAGCCAGCUUGGCUAAUGAGAGCCUAACUCUCCUGCUCCAAUGUACCUUGGGUUAAUUAGAGGUGAAAGUGGCUUUUUAUUUCCAGAUGAAACGUGUUCCCUGUGGUUUUGCUGCUCGCCCUGAGUUGGCACAGCAGCGCUGCACGCAGGAGUGAGCAGUCUGCGGGAGCUCUCCUGGGGUCCCAGCCUUCUUCUUUCCCCAAAAUUUCUGCUUCUGGGCUGCCCUGGGGACACCCAAAGAGCUAAGCUGGCUCCCCGCAUAGAGGAGGUGCCCCCCCAAUAAAUUUGUUGCAGGUUGGCCCCUGGGGAGCCAAGAGAGCCCCACCAGUUGCGUGGGGAGGCGGUGACGGGGGCUGCCUCGGGGUCGGUGGCAUUUAGCAAGUUCCACUAGCUUCUUUGGUCACGGGUUAUUGAUAUUAUUGUGCACCCACCCCGAUGCCUAGAUAGGCGUGGUGUUGCCGACGUGUGUUGUCCCAACUUUUUCAAGAAGGGCUUUUCAGAACCAUGUCCCAGGAUAUGAGCGGUGGGAGGCUAUCCUUGGAAAAUUAGUAGGGGAGGCAUUUGUUUCUCCAAGGCUUGCGAUGAAAACCCUAACUAACCCUAACUAACUAAAAGGUGCAGGGCUUGCUGAAGAUGUUACAGGCCAUUUUCAGCUUUCUAAGUGGGGCAAAGCCAGAGUUUCUCCGCUCUUCCUGCACUGGUGUAAGUGGUGCAAGGCCCUGCUUAGGUUUUGAAGCAGCAUCUGCAGAGGUCAGAUGUGUAAGACAAGAGGGCCAUUGAGGAUGUCAAAGAUGGUCCCAGGGGGACUAGAAGAGAGCAGCUAAACCUUCAGGGUCCUGAGACAGCAAUAAACCCUUCAGCCAUGGUGCCCUUGAAGGCAACAGGACGUCGCCCAGGGGAGAGCCAGCACCGUGGGAGAGCACCCCGAGGCAGCCUGGGGUAUCAGGAGGGAUGCCUGGGGACUAGAGGCCACCUGAGGGACCAGCUGAGGCGAUGCCAGGUGCCAGGCAGAGCUGCAAGGACCACGGCCAGACAGGGAGACAAGUGACUGUGGAGACCCCCGCAAGCCUUCAAGCGCGGGUUAGCGCAGCAUCGAUCAGAUGCUCCUCUCGCCACUUCUGCCAGCAGGGCUUUGCUGUUGUUUCCCAGUUACUCGAUGGGGCUCUCUUCACUUCCCAGUUUCUUUGGUGUAUCUGCCUCACCAACUGGAGAAGCCGAUGCUCUUUGGCCAGACCGAACGGGAGGGAAGUGCGAUGCCGGUGCUCCCAGCAGCGCUGCCGGCCCUUCCUCUUGCCCCAGCCUCAGUGAGUGAUGAUGAAUUGUGGGUGACAGAGGGGGCAGGGUGAUGGGAGCAGCAGAAAGCAGCACGGGUGGCAUUUCUCAGCACUGCAGUAAGGAGUCAGAGGCAAGGAUGGGAUCUGGGGGAGCAGUGACACGGGUCACCCAAGGGGUCAGCAAGGGGAAGGCGGUCAUGACCCAUGGUAGGGAAGUCUUGGGGUUGCAGCCUCCGGGCUCCUGUGCCUGCUGCAAGAUGGAAGUGACGCAGCUGCUCCCACAUGGCUCCAUGAGCAAGAAAUGUACCUUGGGGACAGUCACCCUGCCACCCUCUGGCUUCCCGCCCCCUCCAGCCCCCUCCAGCACCCAGCAAGCUUUGAGGGGCCACCUACGAGUCACUCCCUGGGAGACCGGAGAAGCAGUACAGCUGGCCAGAGGCAGCAUGGCAGAUGGAGAGGCACACGCAUACCCCAAGCCUACAGCCGAGGCUAGGCCUGUGCACGCUGCCUCGCUUUAAAAUGCCAGCAAUGUCCCGUCAUUAUCAGCUAAUGCCCUCUAAUGGGUCCAUUAAACAGCUCUGUCUUUGCCUUGGCUUCUAAUUCCCCCGCCCCUACUCAUACUCAGGCGGCAUUACCUGCUUCAGAAGAUACGAUUACACUACUUAAUUCUUUCUAAAUGACAGCGCUGAGCCAGCAGCAGAGUGCCGUUCGCCCUCGCUUGGCCAAGCAAGACCCCUGGAUGCCGGCCCGAGGGUGGCGGAGGCAGGGGAGACCCGGCUCUCGCUCCCCGCUCCCUCACCCAGCUUUCCCCUUCGCUGCUGCGGCAGCGGCGUGGGUGUCCCUGAGGGCACCUCCCUGUAAUUAUAGCAGAUUUAUAGCAAAUGGUUCCUCCAGCCCCGUCUCCAUCCCUGCGGCGCAAAGGGCUCUUUGCUUUAUCUCUACCUAAAGCAAGUCUUACCAGUCUGCUGUGGAGCACGAGGCUCGCUGCCCCUCCAGCCACGCCAGCCCAGAUCUCUGCUGGCUGCCAGGGCAAAAUAUUCCUCGAGCCCCAAGAAGGCACCCAUCGCCAUCCCCCGUGCGCAUCUCCAUGUAACAGUCUCUUAAAACACUAGGGGAACGGGGACUGGAGUGAGUGAAAAUUGACUGUUUUUAUGCUCAGUACUUGGUUGGCUUCCUUUGGAGUUCGGAGAAAUUUUUUAAUAGCGCUGACUAUUGAUAAUAUGUCACUAGGAAUUUGAUUAGCACUUCACGGCACAAGCACUAAAAAUACAAGGUCCUGUUCCCCAGAGUGCUUGGAAAUGUUGAGGGAAAGCAAACUGAGAGGAGCAGUAAGGUCAUGGAGAGAUGUGGAGCUCCCAGGAGCACAGCCAACCGAGGCGACUGCGGGGGACGGGCCUGAACGAGGCUCCUGGGGGCCCUGGAAGAGAAAAGCGAGACAAGUGUGGGUCUGUUGGGAGCUCAGUGUCUGCACUGAAGGGCUGCUGCGGCAUCGUGAUUUCAGGAUCUACCACUACCACAUGACCUUGGGUCAAGACAUUUGCUUUUCUCCACUCCCCUUUUCCUGAGGAUGGGGGAAAACAGAGCUCUGGGGGCUCUGGGAUCCAUGGGUGGACCAUGGCAAUACUGAUUUUGGUUAUUCAGAGGAAGGGCAGAGGAAAACGUAGACAAGAAGAGCCACCGACCCGAGAGGUAUGGCAAAAAUAUGUUCACCGUUCCGUGUCCUAUAGCAGAAGGUUAUUUGUAGCAUAAGGCAGUGACAGAAAUAGCCUUUAAGACAAUAUGGCCUUUCCUGCAAACUUACUGCACAUUUUACUCUCAGUUUUAUGUGUCAGUUUUAUUCCUAAUGACCUCUGAUAUGGCAGGCAGGCCUUCAUCUUCUCCUUUUCGUGCUGGGCUGUACACUUCUUGAGGUUCGGCUUGGUUUUUUUUUUCCCUUUCCGUGUUGCUCUGUUAUAAUGUCAUGCUGAGCUGCUAAACCCAGCUGCAGUUUUGACAGAUGAUGUACUAGUUCCCUCUGCUUUAGAUUUGACAUUUUCAUGAGCACUAAACACAAACGCUUACAAAUUUUAAAAGGGAAGAGAACCCCCACCACCACCACCACUCUCUCCUGUUCUUUUUCCGGUUUGGCUUCAUUUUGGAGUUGAUGAAAAAUGCCAGAUUAAUGGCCCUUGAAACUGAAACUCUCUAUUUAGCAGCUGAGCAAGCGGGGUGAGGGAAGCCACCGUGCUUGUUGCUCCUCUGCUGCUCCUGCAGCAAGCCUCGCCCCGAUGGGAGCGCCGUCCCCGGCACCCUCACGCUGCGGCUUCCCGCUUCUGCUGCGGCGACGAUGUCGCUCGGAAGGCGCCGUCCCUGCCAUUAGCCCCUCUCCCACCGCUCCGCAGUUCUGUAUUUAGCCCACGAAGCUCUAAAUAUUUCCGUGCCGUGCUGCUAGAUGCAGCAGCUCCCUCCUCCUUUGCGGCCAAGGCGGUGUUGUGCAACCAGUUUGAGAGGGAUGAUCCUCUGGAUGUUGGGCGGGAGGGUUAGCCCCAGAAGGGAGCCUGUGCUUGAAGCCCGGUCUCCAGGCAGAGAAAGGGCAGGGAAAAUGGUGGGAAGAGAUUUAGAACCAACAGCCCAUGCUGAUAUUCUGGGCGCUUUCAUGCUGCAGCUGAAGCAGCGAUGGGGAAUUUUUCCUUCCACGUUGGUGGAAUUGGGAUUUAGGCUAUUUAUCUUCGAUGAAAUGCCAAGUAAUGGUUGAUUGUGUUUAGAAGCAGCAAAAAGAUAUUAUAAAUAGUGCUUCCUGCUGCUCCAAGACAGGACGAGAAGUAAGAGUGAGGAGACCAGAUCUGAUAACCGUCUGCACGCAUCCUUUUUUGUGCUGUGACUGAUGCGACUCCAGUAACUACAGUGGGUCUCGGGCUAGAGAAGACGUUGAGGCCUGUCAGCCUUUCUGCCACCUGAAGAACUGACUAACCUUGCAUUGGGAUAUUACAAAACGGGGAGUACUCUGGCAUGGCAGGGUGUAGAGGCCCUGUUUCCACAGGGUAGCUCAGGAUAACGGAGAGGGAGAUGCCAUGGGUCAGUUACUAUACAGAAGGAAGGCAACCCUAAUUCUGAGGGUGGUGGGCUCGCCUAACCUUGGAAAGAUGAUGAUCUUCAAACUCUGACCAAGACAGAGAGGAGCUUCAGGCUGCUCUUUCUUGUACGAAAGCACUGUGAAGGGAAGGCAGCAAGGGCUUGCUGUGCCAUCAACUGACAAAUCAAGGCCAGCUGAAGGAAGAAGGAGGAGGACAUCAACACCCAUAAAGGAAAUCCACCCAAGUCUGUUCUCAGCACCCUGCCAGUUUCUGUGCAAUGAAUUGCUGAUCCUGUUACUGGUGGAGCUGAAGCAGUGUGAGAUUUAAGAGGUUGGCGUAGAUGACCGUGAAGUUGCCCACGUGAAGGCUGGGUCAAAUCUUCGGGUGGGCUGCACCCAGUUGCACGGCAUUGGAGCUGCAAGCGUUGUGCAGGAGGUGGUGUUUUGGUCCUCUGCUGGCAUCUUGCAGAGGUUUGGUCUUCAGAAACAGCAGGCACAGUGUAGGAGCUUUCCUCCUCUUUUUUUUUAACUGAACAGGUGAAAAAGAAAUCUUUCUUUUAUAGAAAGUAAGUGCUUUCUUGCAACACCUUAAUUCUAAACGCUAGAGGGAAGAUUAUUUUCCCUUGUUUUGGGCCCAUUAUCAACCCAUCACAGUCACACUUCAUCAGCUGUACUUUGAGCUUAAACUGUGAGCUCCUUGGGCCAGGGCUGCCUCUCGUACACAAACCAGGGGUGUAAAUAAAUGGAAUAAUAAACAGCUUUGCAGAGAGAAGUGAUCACCAGUUUUGUGUUGAUGCUGCUUCGGGCACUUGUGGAAUCAAAAAGGCUUCGCACCGUGGGUCACCUCUCCACCAGCUGGCAUGCAGAGGUUGACCUGCUUGCUGCCACCUCAAGGAAAAGAGCCAGAGGAGCAGCAGCAGGCGGGAGCAGCGCACCCUGCCUGUCCGCAGGCAUUGCAGCAUCUCAUCGAGAAGAUGGUUUUGCUAUGCUGGCCACCUUCUUCUGCUUGCAUGGGGAGCACUGACCCAUGACAUUGCUGUGGGAGAGGAGGGAGGCCACCUCUGAGAAAGGCAGGCACAGGCAAUCAGGCAGAGCAUGGCUGGGCACCGGCAGGAGAGGUGGCUGAGCGGAAGCCCGUCGGGGUAAGAGGCAGAGAUGUGGCCAUUCGUUUCCCGCUGAGGCAUCCUGCCAGUUGCACACAGCAAUGCUUCGCAUGGGGAAGUUAUCAGGGAGCAAACCCAGCUCCUCAUCUGCACCCAUGGGACCGCUCCUCUGGGCACCCCCAGGCCCCAGCAAUGCAAGUGAUGCCAGGGAGAGCAUCAGAGGCACCGGCCCCGCAUCACGCAACAAAGGGCACAGGUAGGAAGAGAAGAGAGAGGAGAAAAACUGCAGGCAUCAGAGAGAAAAACACGCAGAAUUAUGGAAAGGCAAUAUUUAAUAGUUCACCAAUCACAUUCUCAUUUCCAAGUUGCCAUAGGCUUAUUUUCAGGGAAGAAUGAAAACAGGCAAGCUGAUACGAUGAGUCCUAACCUCCUCAUCUUCACAUCCCCGUGCCAUCGCUUGCUGUGUCCUUCAGCAGUGGAGCUUAUUCCCCUGUGCACGAGGCAGAGGUUCCAGGUCCCUCCGCUACUGGCAAAGCUGGCGUCAAUGUGCUAAGGCUGCUAUGGAUCAGAUAGACCACGGCUCUCAUUGUCCCCUGGCUAUCGGUAUCUAACGGGUGACUCUUCUCUUCCACCUCCAUUGUGGGACCCUCUUGUUCUGCACUAAUAUCCCACCAAGCACAACAGGACCCAUGAAUAGGCCUUUUAGGCACUGCAUUAAUACCACGACGGAAAAAAAGCAUAACCAUCCCUAAAUGGACUAGCUCUUUCAAGGAGGUAUUACCUUUAAUCAUUUUUAAAUUUGUGUAAGGCAACUUGGAAUUACCUACAAAGGACUCUCUAUAAAACCAGAUUGUAUUGCAUUUAAUACCUAUGCUUUUAGCCCUCUCUUUCCUUAUUUUCUUGUACUUAGAUAGAUUUUCCUCUAGAGGACUGUAUUUUUUUUUUCUUUCCGAGUGUCUGUGCUGGCUCAAAAGUGACUCAGUACUUCAUCAAUACCUCCGGUGGCUGUUGGUACAGCCACUGAUGGGAAGCUGGCAGAGAAUUAUUCAGGUGAAAGCCUCCAAGAAAAAUCAGUCAGGGGAAGGUCGGUUAGUUUGCUUGUUUUAAAUUUUGAUUGUUUUCAGAAAUGGAGGGGGAAACCAGAGACACAGCCAGAGAACAGAUUUUUGAGAAUGCUAGAAGUAUUUAAAUACUCAGUGGAAGGAGGUUGGAGUUUAUAGCAACAUACCACAUUACCUUUUUUUUUUUUUAAAAAAAAAGCGCAUUUCCAAUACCAUUGCACUUUGCAACGAGGAAAAGCCUGUAAGGAGAUAAGAAAGGCCUUUCUGGUUCAGCUGAAAAGCACGCCUGCACUUACCACAAAGGCUGUCCUGACUUACAACUGUUUUCCUCUCUGGGGAAUCCCAGAGUCUGAUGUGAUUUCUCUGCCUAGUAAUACCCAACAGAUUUUCCUCCCUGCCUUCGCUCCAUCCCCCUGUGAGCCUACACAAGCAGCUUCCUCCCAAAGAAGUUAUAGGCACAGAGCAAAGGUGUUGAAGUUUGCAGGUGGGCACAGGUUGGGGGAAAAAAACUCAAAAAUUCCUUAAAGGGUCAAAUUUCCUUGUCGCCUUUUUACCUUGGUGUGUGCUGCUGUCCUCCAGCACGAAGGCUGAACCCGGAGCGAGCAGGAGGAGCCUCCCUGCCUUUCCCCUCUUGUCCUUGGGAAUGAAGCUUACUCCAGGUGCUUGCAGGGUGUUGAAGCCCCCUGAAACAUCUUCUAAUGCCAAGUGAUGAAGGAUGCAGUCCUCCUGCCUACAACAGGGACCAGUCCGAUGGGACCCUGAAAAAGUGCUGCUUUCCACCUGGGACUGAACCAGGUCGCACCAUGCCGCAGCCCUUUCAGUGCUCUGCUCAAGGGAUGCUCUGCUGUCAAAAUCCUCCCCCGGGAGUUUCCACUCCAGCAGAGCAUCCUGACCUUGCAGCACUGAAAGUACCUGAGGAAGACCCACAUCGCUUCUGCAUCUGGUUUUGGGCAGCCGAAGAGAGGAGCAGCAGCUCCUUAGCACCUGGCAGACAUCUCUGCUUGAGAAACCCAGCCCCUCCGGGCAGCGCUUUCUCUGCGAGUCUCGCUUUCCUCCCCUCUUGCUCCCGCCCCACGCAGUGGAUGUCGUGCCACACGCCGCGUGUGCCGUCCAUCUUUCCAACCACGUGCUGUCACAUCAUCCAGGAAAGGGCAGAUUAACAAACUGGUCUGGAAGGGGUUUCUUCAUUAAAGGGAGACUGUUUUGGUGGGACAACAGCAACCUGUAUCCCUCACCAGUCUCCGAGCGCUUACAGGUAAUGCUUGCGCUCGGGGGAAAAAGGUGUGGGGCCAAACUUUAGGGAGCCCCUUAUUAAAGCACUUGCAGCACGUCGCUGCAUCGGCCUGUGAAAACGUGACUGUCACCCCGAGGCUAAACCCGGUGCUGAGGAACCUGACAGCCUAGGUGAAACCAGCCACAAGCGACUUCUCCCGUCCUCCUUGGGAGGGAAGAUAAAUGUCAUAAGUCAUCAGCCGUCACGGCUCGUACAAGGCACAUUUUUCUCUCCCCGGCACCGAGCCGAAACUGCUCUGGACGGAGGGAGGGUGAGGGGCGAAGGGGAGCUGUGAAUCCUGCUAAACUUCUCAUGUCCCUUGGGCGGGUCUGUCAGCACUGAUAGAAAAAUGUGUGCGUAAAACUGGGGGAAACAAGGCGUGCAACCGCCCAGGCACUGAGAAGGCAGCCAAAGCAGGCAGAUAGAUGGGUGUCUGGAUGGGUAGGCAUCUGUGCAAUGCCGAAUCCUGCGGAGAUUGAGCAUAAACGCUCAGCACCCGCCGCCUUUGCUGAACAAAAGCUCUUUCAGCAAGCCACCGCUGAAUGCAAGCGGCAGUGGACCGCAGGGGUCAGGAGCAGCUAGAGGGGCUGAAAGCCCUCCAUCCCUUCCCAGGAGCUGCAAGGCCAUCCUCCUCAAGUCCCCUUUCUUGGCUGAAGUUGUACCUUAACUGCCCAUCAGGUGGGCACCCAUCAACCCCAGCCCCCAGCUCCUCCUGCGCAGCCCAAAUGCCGUGGGCAAUAUUCUCCUCCAAGUUUUGUAGCUCCGUGCGUGGGAAUGAGCUCAGGGUAAACGUUUGCGGUGGUGAAAGGCCCGUUUCCUUCCCUUUUCCUGCCUCAAGAAACUCGCAUACCCAGGGAAAGCCUCCUUAUUCUGGGCAUGGAGGCGCCAGCUCUGCUUUCCACAAAGCAAAAGCCAUCCCAGCAGCUCACGGGCAAGGUGGCCAUAAGAAAGCAGCGGACUGGAAAGGGUUAGAGUAAGGGGAGGAGAUACGCUGGGAAGCCCAGCUUCCAGGUAGUUUAAGCUUAAUGGAGAGUAACAAUUCCUGUAAAACCAGUUAAUUUCCCAUUGCUGUCAUUUCACGCUGCAAAGGCCAAGAAAAUAUUUUCGGUGCAGCGGGCAGUGCUGGGCUGCACAAGCGGGCAGGAACAGGCAGGGAUGGGGAUAUUCAUCCCAAGAGGCAGGUGCGUUUUCUGUGAGCCAAAUUCUGAUGGGAAUGAUUCCCCUCUGCCCCAAGUUUGGAUGGGGGGUGAAAUUAUGGGUGUCCUUUUCCCUGAAGCCCGGGUUGUUGCUCCUUCGUCUCACUCGUCAGGGCGAGAGGAGGUGAUUCUCAUCAUCAGCCCAUGGCAGAGACUUUCCUUGGGGAUACCUGGAGCCAAAUACAACUUCUGUGUAUUUAGCAGUCUGUAGUGGAGCCCAUGCAUCUUCUUGGCAUCUGUGGCAUCCUGUAGGAAGCAGUCUCGUGCUCCAAUACUCUCCAAUCACUUAUCCUCUUCUGACAGCAUCCCCAAGCCAUGGGCUCUGUCAAAACACCUCUACCCCAGUCGAGGACCACCGUGGUAUUUCUGCUCUCAAUUCACCCCAGGGAGAAAAGGACAAAUCUUGCUGAAUCCAGGGUGACAUUUGGUCAUGCAGAUAAAACUCUGCUGCCAAACGUUGCUGGGUGGUGAGUAGAGCCCGGCAAAUAAUUCCAUGCAAAUAACUCGCUAAGUGAAUUGAGCUUCUCUUGCCUCUCACAAACUGCCCGUGAACAUACUGCGACCCACCAUGUCCUCAGGUAAACCAGCUAUUGGAAAUCAUUUGCCACUUCAAAAUUUGUUCUCGGGUUUAUGGUGUUCAAUAAGAAGAGAGCUGCACAGAUUGGCAGCGGCUGCUCACAUAAAUCACAAGGCAUUUUCUUCCUGUUCCUAAUCAUGCCAGAAGUCAGUGGGGUGGGGUGUGUCCCGGAGAGAGACAGUGGACACGCAGGAUUACCAAAUUUUAGAGCAUUUCAAACCUUCGCCUCUCUGACCAAUUAAGCCUUGUGUAACACAUCACGCCAAGGGAAAAUGGAGCCUGGCAGAGAACAUAGUUCAGAUUUAAUCUUGCUGCAUUGAGUUCACGCAUAAAUAAUCACUUGUGAACUUGCUGCUUCGAUCUGCCCCACUGACUGGCCUCUGUCAAGGCCUGGGAAAGUCUCCUUAGUUAGAUGUUUUGCAUAAGAUGAGCCAGAGGAGAGGUGCCAAGGAGAGGAAUGAUUUUUUUAACAUGAACACAUCAAGCAGCAUUUGCAACAUUUGCCCAGAGGGUAUUCAUUCCUGGUAUCGUUAUUUUCAUGGUGGCUCUUUGCAAUGAUUAAUUUAAAGUGCCAGCACCAGGAAUCAUGGGAACAUAUGAGAAACCCAGUUUUUCUUUUAAAAUAGAAGUGUGUUUCCUUUCCAACGUUACAGAAGAAACCUGGGAAAAGGUCAUCCUUAAAGACAUGUAAAACAUCCCUCCGCAUCUUGUCUAAUCUCAUACUUUUUCAUGCCAUUUCUUAAUUUGGAGAAGAAACCCUCUCAUUUGGAGUGCACCAUAUGGUUGCAGAUCACCAAAAUGGAAAAGCCAAUAUCAUCCAACCUUUUGCAGCAGAUGCUUUGAUUUUCCAGGGUGCUCAACGGCAGACACACCAGCCACCACCUUCAGUAUGUCUUUCAAGAGCUUUCAUGACAAAGUUGGGCUUGUGUUUCCCAAAGCAGUCAGUGAAGUGUGCAGGCUGGGGCUGAUGUCUCCAUCCAUUACUUCCCAAUGUAUACCUUGAGUCUUCCCCCUUCUUGGUCACCGCUCUGUCCCUGUGCAAGGACGAUAACUGCCAUCAGCCCUUGCCUGGUACGCCUUGUCCGUGCAUUAUUUGCCUGCCUUGAUGACGCAGCCUACUUGUUCAGGCCAUCUGAUAAGGUCAUCUCGUAGGGACUUCCACCGUGGUCAUGAGCUUGCCUUUUCUCAGACUUCCUACCUUUUGGCCUCUUUACAUCUGCUGCGUAGCGCUGAGAAACCUGUGGCCUUUGGUUGGGUACGUGGAGGAGGUGAUGUCCAUGUCCCUCUGUACUCCGUCUCCACCUCAGAAGAUGGGACCUCUUGACUAAGGGUCUUUUUUUUUCUUUGCUUUCCCCAGUCAUAGAUUUUGAAGCAACCUCUUAUUGCUUGACAAGGCCAGGAAAAGCCUUCCCUGCAAAUGUGCAGCGUGCUUCCCUGCAGCUGUCCUUUGGACAUGGUGGCAGCUGACCUCAGUGCUUCCCUCCCCUUGUGAAACACAUGCCUCUCCAUCCCCAUCCCCGGUGCCCCUGGGGGCACCUCUUGUUUCACUGCUUCCUAACAGAAUGUGUUGUGUCCGCCUGGGCUACCGCUGCUCUCAGUCAGGCAGAAGCAAGCCGAGUUUCCUCCGAACCAACCCUGGACACAGGCUAGCGGGGGGGUGAAGCUGCUCAGGCGUACAAGCGGUCGGGGUUUGAUACAGGAGGUCAAGUGUGCUGCGGCGCAGGGCAUCUGGCUGGAUGCAGAGCCGCUGCUUCACCUUCCGUGCCAGGUCACCUUCAUGCCAGGUCUUCCACAUGAGCAUCUUCCCAUGGAGGCAGUGGACCAGACCUCCGGAUGAUGGCCGGGCAGCAGGAGGAGGUCGCACUCACCACAUUUUGCUUUGUCCACCCACUUGGGGCGAGCGAUUUCACCCGUCAGCUGGAGCUGGAAUUUCUGAAGCAUUUCUGCCACAUCCCUAACCCCAAACCCAUCUGCUUUCACGGAUGUUGCACGCACGUGCACGCUGCUUCAUCCCCAGUGACCCUUCCCC